GAUGAAGAACGCAGCGAAAUGCGAUACGUAAUGUGAAUUGCAGAAUUCAGUGAAUCAUCGAGUCUUUGAACGCACAUUGCGCCCCCUGGUAUUCCGGAGGGCAUGCCUGUCCGAGCGUCAUUGCUGCCCUCAAGCACGGCUUGUGUGUUGGGCCCCGCCCCCCGAUCCCGGGGGGCGGGCCCGAAAGGCAGCGGCGGCACCGCGUCCGGUCCUCGAGCGUAUGGGGCUUUGUCACCCGCUCUGUAGGCCCGGCCGGCGCUUGCCGAUCAACCAAACUUUUUUCCAGGUUGACCUCGGAUCAGGUAGGGAUACCCGCUGAACUUAAGCAUAUCAAUAAGCGGAGGA
rnacentral:misc_RNA from 1 species